rnacentral:rRNA from 1 species
UACGGAGGGUGGCAAGCGUUAUCCGGAUUCACUGGGUUUAAAGGGUGCGUAGGCGGGCAGGUAAGUCCGUGGUGAAAUCUCUGAGCUUAACUCAGAAACUGCCAUGGAUACUAUUUGUCUUGAAUAUUGUGGAGGUAAGCGGAAGUAAUGUCAUGUAGCGGUGAAAUGACUUAGAUAUGACAUAGAACACCAAUUGCGAAGGC